rnacentral:rRNA from 1 species
AUGGUUGGCCUCCGCAGGCAUCAGAUGUGCAAGACCAAGAGCGCCACGGCCACCGCCGCCGCGCCGUCGUCCAUGGCCCGCUCCUCCGCCACCGCCCCGACGGCCACCGCCCACGGCCGCCGCUCGCCCCGCGCGAACACCAACGGCACCCACCCGACCUCCUACUCCACCUCCUCGGCGGCGCUCUCCACCUCCUCCUCCUCCGCGGCCUCCUCCCUGCAGGCCCUCAGGGACUCGCUCCCGGACCUGCCGCUCCUCCUCACCUUCGCCGAGCUCGCCGCCGCCACCAAGAACUUCUCCCCCGCGCACCGCCUCGCGCCGGGGUCGUCCAAUUCGUUUAGAUGCGCGCUCCGGGGCCACCCGGCCGCCGUCUUCCGCCGCGCGCUGCGGCGGGAUCCGGCCGAGGUGUCGUCCCGGCUCGCGGUCCUCGGCCACUGCCACCACGCCGCCAUCGCGCGGCUCUACGGCGCGGCCGCCUCCCCCGACGGCGCCCUCUUCCUCGCCUACGAGCUCGUCCCGGGCGCGGCGCCGCUCUCCUCGCUGCUCCGCGGCGCCAACAACCCGUCCUUCACGCCGCUCGCCUCAUGGCACUCCCGGCUCCGCCUCGCCGCCGACGCCUGCGACGCGCUCAGCUACGUGCACCUCCAGGCCGGGACCGUGCACAACCGCCUCUCCUCCUCCUCCGUCCUCGUGUGCGGCCAGGGCCCGCUCCUCCGGGCCAAGCUCGCGCACUUCGGGUCCGCGGACCUCGCCGGGGAGCUCCCGGACGACGAAUCCGGCGACAAGGAGGCGAGGCACCGGCGGACGGGCAGCCGCGGGAGGCGGAUCGAGGGCACGCGCGGGUACAUGGCGCCGGAGCUGAUCGCGGGAGGGUCGCCGACGCGGCGGUCGGACGUGUUCGCGCUGGGCGUGCUGCUGCUGGAGCUGGUGUCCGGGCAGGAGCCGGUGCGGUACGAGUUCAACAAGGCGACCGGGGACUACGAGCGCACCUCGCUGAUCGAGAGCGCCUCCGCCGCGUCGGCGUCCGGCGGCGGCGAGGGGAUGCGGCAGUGGGUGGACCGGCGGCUCAAGGACUCGUUCCCGGUGGAGGCGGCGGAGGCGCUGACGACGCUGGCGCUGCAGUGCGUGUCCAAGGACCCCGCGGCGCGGCCGGAGAUGUCGUGGGUCGCCGCCAAGGUGUCCAAGCUGUUCCUGGAGGCGCAGGACUGGGCUGACAAGUUCCGCAUCCCCACCGACAUCUCCAUCUCCAUGGCUCCCAGGUGA